AGUCGCCAUGUUGGUUGAGAAUAAAGGGAUGGUUUUGGAGGCCUGGGCGGACUUCUUUGAUGAGGGGAAACCGCUUUCGCGGGAUCUGGUGGAUGUAGAUAUAUGGGUUUAUAGUUGGGGAAACUUAAUUGCCAGGAGGCGAGACUGAGAGUGUCACAGGGAUUGGACUUGACCUCAGACAUCUUGACGCUCAAACCAGGAUUCUAGCAUAAAAAUGGUAGCAAGAAGAGAAGAAAAUGGGCAUACUUACGGAGAAUUGAAAAUCAAAAAAAUGAUUAAGAUAAAUUCAAGAAGGCCGGGCGCGGUGGCUCACGCCUGUAAUCCCAGCAGUCUGUGGGGGCAGAGGCGGGUGGAUCACUCGAGGUCCGGAGUUCGAGACCAGCCUGACCAAAAUGGAGAAACCCCCGUCUCUGCUAAAAAAAAAAAAAAAAAAAAAAAAAAAAAAAAAAAAAAAAAAAAAAAUUAGCGCGGCGUGGUGGCACAUGCCUGUAAUCCCAGCUACUAGGGAGGCUGAGGCAGGAGAAUCGCUUGAACCCUGGAGGCAGAGGUUGCGUGCGGUGAGCCGAGAUUGCGCCAUUGCACUCCAGCCUGGGCAAGAAGAGCGAAACUCCGUCUCAAAAAAAAAAAAAAAGAUAAAUUCAGGAGAGUGAUUUCUUCUGUGAGGGAAGAAAGGGGAUAUGUUAUGGGAGAAGCCCGAAAAGUGGGAGUUUGGGGGCUCACUCAUGAUCUUCCCUGGGACUGGAGCAAAUAAACCCUAACCCCUCUCCA